rnacentral:rRNA from 1 species
CCUACGGGAGGCAGCAGUGGGGAAUAUUGGGCAAUGGAGGCAACUCUGACCCAGCAACGCCGCGUGAGCGAUGAAGGUCUUCGGAUUGUAAAGCUCUUUAAGCGGGGACGAAGAAAGUGACUGUACCCGCAGAAUAAGCCUCGGCUAACUACGUGCCAGCAGCCGCGGUAAUACGUAGGAGGCAAGCGUUAUCCGGAAUGACUGGGCGUAAAGGGUGCGUAGGUGGUUUGGCAAGUUGGUAGCGUAAUCCCGGGGCUCAACCUCGGUGCUACUACCAAAACUGUUGAACUUGAGUGCAGGAGGGGUGAAUGGAAUUCCCAGUGUAGCGGUGGAAUGCGUAGAUAUUGGGAAGAACUCCGAUUGCGAAGGCAGCAUACCGGCGCUCAACUGACGCUGAGGCACGAAAGCGUGGGGAUCGAACAGGAUUAGAUACCCGAGUAGUC